rnacentral:rRNA from 1 species
GGCUCAAAGAGGGGGACCUUCGGGCCUCUCGCGUCAGGAUAUGCCCAGGUGGGAUUAGCUAGUUGGUGAGGUAAGGGCUCACCAAGGCGACGAUCCCUAGCUGGUCUGAGAGGAUGAUCAGCCACACUGGAACUGAGACACGGUCCAGACUCCUACGGGAGGCAGCAGUGGGGAAUAUUGCACAAUGGGCGCAAGCCUGAUGCAGCCAUGCCGCGUGUGUGAAGAAGGCCUUCGGGUUGUAAAGCACUUUCAGUCGUGAGGAAGGUGGUAGUGUUAAUAGCACUAUCAUUUGACGUUAGCGACAGAAGAAGCACCGGCUAACUCCGUGCCAGCAGCCGCGGUAAUACGGAGGGUGCGAGCGUUAAUCGGAAUUACUGGGCGUAAAGCGCAUGCAGGUGGUUUGUUAAGUCAGAUGUGAAAGCCCGGGGCUCAACCUCGGAACUGCAUUUGAAACUGGCAGACUAGAGUACUGUAGAGGGGGGUAGAAUUUCAGGUGUAGCGGUGAAAUGCGUAGAGAUCUGAAGGAAUACCGGUGGCGAAGGCGGCCCCCUGGACAGAUACUGACACUCAGAUGCGAAAGCGUGGGGAGCAAACAGGAUUAGAUACCCUGGUAGUCCACGCUGUAAACGAUGUCUACUUGGAGGUUGUGGCCUUGAGCCGUGGCUUUCGGAGCUAACGCGUUAAGUAGACCGCCUGGGGAGUACGGUCGCAAGAUUAAAACUCAAAUGAAUUGACGGGGGCCCGCACAAGCGGUGGAGCAUGUGGUUUAAUUCGAUGCAACGCGAAGAACCUUACCUACUCUUGACAUCCAGAGAAUCUAGCGGAGACGCUGGAGUGCCUUCGGGAACUCUGAGACAGGUGCUGCAUGGCUGUCGUCAGCUCGUGUUGUGAAAUGUUGGGUUAAGUCCCGCAACGAGCGCAACCCUUAUCCUUGUUUGCCAGCGAGUAAUGUCGGGAACUCCAGGGAGACUGCCGGUGAUAAACCGGAGGAAGGUGGGGACGACGUCAAGUCAUCAUGGCCCUUACGAGUAGGGCUACACACGUGCUACAAUGGCGCAUACAGAGGGCGGCCAACUUGCGAAAGUGAGCGAAUCCCAAAAAGUGCGUCGUAGUCCGGAUUGGAGUCUGCAACUCGACUCCAUGAAGUCGGAAUCGCUAGUAAUCGUGGAUCAGAAUGCCACGGUGAAUACGUUCCCGGGCCUUGUACACACCGCCCGUCACACCAUGGGAGUGGGCUGCAAAAGAAGUGGGUAGUUUAACCUUCGGGAGGACGCUCACCACUUUGUGGUUCAUGACUGGGGUGAAGUCGUAACAAGGUAGCGCUAGGGGAACCUGGCGCUG